UCAAAAGAAUAAUUAAACUAUAAAAUUCUUAGAAUUUUCUAUUCUCCACCUAAAUUUCUUAUAUAGUUAUAUUUUUCUAUCUACAUUUAAAACCAUUCAUAUAAUGUUCAAGUAAUGUACUGGUAAUUAUUUGAGACGCAUCAAAAAAGAUAUGUACCGGUAAUUAAUAAUUAUGGAUAACCAAUCAAUACAAACUUUAGACAAAGGACCACAGAAAUCAAAAUCAAAACCUUUUUUUGUCGCUUCUAUUUAAUUCUACCAUUGGAGGUAACCCUAAUGGCUGCGUGUAGAUUUUAAUCAUCAAAUCAUUGGGACCUACCAAUUAACAUUGAUUUGGGAAAGUUGCCUAGGGUGUGAAAGAAACUUUAGGGCCAUCUAAUCAAAUCAUAGCAGAAAAAAGAUAAUACAAUUAAUGCAAUGGAGAACUUGCUCUUAUUAAUCAAUUUAAUUCAUUAUAGUUAAACUCUAGGUAGCAGACAAGUUCCUCUCAUAAUGGACGAAGAUGGGUAUGUUUUCUGCUUUCUGUCAAAAGCUAUACCUCAAUAAUGAAUACAGCUUCAACCAAAAAAAUCCAAAAGAAGAACCAAACAAUUCUAUCUUGGUAUCUAGUUAACUUCACAGAACACAAACAACCUAGUCAAGUUCUGAUGUUAUUGAGGGGAAAAGCCAAUGGAAUACUCCAACACGAAAAAUAUCUGUAUAGCCACUCAGGUACAUGGGUGCCCUCUAUGUAUGUAAAGUUAGCAGAAUAGCUUGUGUUACUUAAUUUAAUGCCCUAAUCACUAGCAUGUGUCCUUUUUCUUCUGGCCCACAUGUACAUUAAUUAUUUUAUUAGAUCAUACAUGCCUGGUUGGAAUUCAUGAACUUCAGAUACUUUCAACAUGAGGGGAAGAUGCAUUAAUUAUAGGCUUAUCAUCCAUCAGAAUCAUAUAUAUGAAUUCCUGAAAACUUAGUACAAAACUAAUUUCUGAGUCAAGGAAACAUUUUAUUUGAGGUAACAAACCCCUCAUUGAUUAUCAACAUUUUAUUUUGUUUUAG
rnacentral:lncRNA from 1 species